rnacentral:rRNA from 1 species
AUUGAACGCUGGCGGCAUGCUUUACACAUGCAAGUCGAACGGCAGCGCGGGCUUCGGCCUGGCGGCGGGUGGCGAACGGGUGAGUAAUGCAUCGGAACGUGCCCAGCAGUGGGGGAUAGCCCGGCGAAAGCCGGAUUAAUACCGCAUACGACCUGAGGGUGAAAGGGGGGGACCGAAAGGCCUCGCGCUAUUGGAGCGGCCGAUGUCGGAUUAGCUAGUUGGUGGGGUAAAGGCUUACCAAGGCGACGAUCCGUAGCUGGUCUGAGAGGACGACCAGCCACACUGGAACUGAGACACGGCCCAGACUCCUACGGGAGGCAGCAGUGGGGAAUUUUGGACAAUGGGGGCAAGCCUGAUCCAGCCAUGCCGCGUGCGGGAAGAAGGCCUUCGGGUUGUAAACCGCUUUUGUUCGGGAAGAAAUCCUCUGGGCUAAUACCCCGGGGGGAUGACGGUACCGGAAGAAUAAGCACCGGCUAACUACGUG